rnacentral:rRNA from 1 species
GACGAACGCUGGCGGCGUGCUUAACACAUGCAAGUCGAACGUGAUUUUUGUGGAAAUUCUUUCGGGAAUGGAAAUGAAAUGAAAGUGGCGAACGGGUGAGUAACACGUGAGCAACCUACCUUACACAGGGGGAUAGCCGUUGGAAACGACGAUUAAUACCGCAUGAGACCACAGAAUCGCAUGAUAUAGGGGUCAAAGAUUUAUCGGUGUAAGAAGGGCUCGCGUCUGAUUAGCUAGUUGGAAGGGUAAAGGCCUACCAAGGCGACGAUCAGUAGCCGGUCUGAGAGGAUGAACGGCCACAUUGGAACUGAGACACGGUCCAAACUCCUACGGGAGGCAGCAGUGGGGAAUAUUGCACAAUGGGGGGAACCCUGAUGCAGCGACGCCGCGUGAGCGAAGAAGGUUUUCGAAUCGUAAAGCUCUGUCCUANGAGAAGAUAANGACGGU